UCACCCUCACCCUUCCUCCUUCC
rnacentral:miRNA from 1 species